rnacentral:misc_RNA from 1 species
AAAGUCGUAACAAGGUUUCCGUAGGUGAACCUGCGGAAGGAUCAUUAACGAACAAAAGAUUUACUUGUUUGAAUCUUUUGGGAUCAACCAAAAACCUGUCAGAAGUAUUCAAUGUAUAUGAAUACACACUAUAAUAAAUAAAUAUUACAAAACUUUCAACAACGGAUCUCUUGGCUCUU